GCCUGGCUGGUUCAGUUGGUGGAACAUGUGACUUUUAAUCUCGGGGUUGUGAGUUCAAGCCCCAUGUUGAGUG
rnacentral:tRNA from 1 species